CCUACGGGAGGCUGCAGUGAGGAAUAUUGGUCAAUGGGCGCGAGCCUGAACCAGCCAAGUAGCGUGAAGGAUGACUGCCCUACGGGUUGUAAACUUCUUUUAUAAAGGAAUAAAGUGAGGCACGUGUGCCUUUUUGUAUGUACUUUAUGAAUAAGGAUCGGCUAACUCCGUGCCAGCAGCCGCGGUAAUACGGAGGAUCCGAGCGUUAUCCGGAUUUAUUGGGUUUAAAGGGAGCGUAGAUGGGUUGUUAAGUCAGUUGUGAAAGUUUGCGGCUCAACCGUAAAAUUGCAAUUGAUACUGGCAGCCUUGAGUGCAGGUGAGGUAGGCGGAAUGCGUGGUGUAGCGGUGAAAUGCUUAGAUAUCACGAAGAACUCCGAUUGCGAAGGCAGCCUACUAGACUGCAACUGACGUUGAUGCUCGAAAGUGUGGGUAUCAAACAGGAUUAGAUACCCUAGUAGUC
rnacentral:rRNA from 1 species